CACAACUAAGCAGAAAACUCUGCCACCAACAUGUAGGAACACUAGAUAUUGUUGAAUGGAAACUCUACAGAAGCAGGGUAGGAAUAGCAAAUACCGUUGAUAUGCCAUAAUCAAAAUGAAAUCUGAUAAUUUUAAUAAUACCCUAAGAUGAAUUUUGGGCAAAUAAAAAAGGUGAUGAUUUUAAACAUUUUUUUUAGUGUCAGUACCAAGAAUUUACUAUUUCCAUAGCACUCAGCUUAAACAAUAAAGACAGGAGAGUGAGUCAGUCUUCUUUAUGUUCAGUCAUUCAAUGAUGCAAGAGUUCAAAAUGCCUUCAGAAGAAGGCUGAAAUUGAACGAAACAUUGUUCUUUAGCUUGAUUACAUUCAUCUCUGAAAAUAGAUACCUUUUCAGGAAAACAAAACCGAUGAAGGAAAGGAAGAGAAAAAGAAAAGGAAAGGAAAAAGCCUAAAAACAUUCCUGUCCUGAAAACGCUGCAUUUUCCUUUUUUAAGCUCCUUUUUAAUUGACUACCUUAGCAACUGUUUUCAUUUCAUAGGGACUGAACUGGGAAACAUCAGGGUUUGUAUUCACCACAGAAGAUAUGAAAGCAGGAUAUGUUUAACAUACAAAAUUAUUGUGGUUUAACCCCAGCCAGCAACAAGGUACCACACAGCUGCUCUCUCAUAUCCCAGCUGCCUUGGCCCCACCUUCACCCUGGGGGAGGAGGACCAAGAAAAAAUGAGAGCCAACCAGAAAGAGCUCAUCACAUGCUAAGGAUAACACAGGCCCUGAGGCCAGUACCUGGUGCUUCAGAAGGAGAUGCAAGAAGCUUCAGAUGAAACAGCUAAAGAAUUACUUUCUCAAAGAGAAGAGCCAAUUUUUGUUUCUUGACACAAGAUGCCUCUGACACUUCUCUGAAAGAGCUGCAGCUGUGCAGUUACAUACCUGUGAGUGGGUAUGUGAACAUGUAAGUACAUCGGCUCUGAAGACUGUGACCUGUUUUUGUAAACAUGGAUAUUGUCUUUCCAUGUUUUAAAAAUAGUGAAACAUGGAAAGAAAUUCUGCAUUCACUAUCAGUGUUUGUGUCCUGCACUGGCAUUAACAUCAGCAUGACCAGGCUGCUUACCUGAACUAAGAACAGUACAUUCAGCCAAGGGAAGAGACUCAAUACUCCUAUCUGUCUGACUGCCAGAUCUGCUUGCCAGAGAUGUCUGACUGAGAGACAUAAUAGGUUGUUUUAUUAUAUUCUAGUUUUCCAAAUUAGAGUGAGAAUUACUAAUAUUAUUAUCAUUACUAGUACUUUUCUUUUUUUCUUUUUUUAAUUGCUGUGGGCUUGUGAAAAAGCACCUCCCACAACUGGGAAAAUCUAUGAAAACUUCUCAUUUGAGGCCUGAAAAAGAUACCAGUCAUACCUGAACUCUGAAAAACUGAGCCAACAUACAAUGGGCUUUGAUUUUGCUGCUAUUUGGUCCAAGUCAGCUUUUCUUCUAUAUUUGUCCAGGGGAAGCCAAAUUCUCCAUUUGUCAUGGAAAUCAACAGCAUCAAAAGAAUGAUUCUUAAGUAACAUCAAUGACAGGAUAAAUAGAAAUCUGAUGUUCACUUCCAAGGUUUUUAGCCCUGUUUUAGUUGCUUUUGUUAGCCAGACAAUUCAGAAGGUUCUCAGAGCACAUGUGACAUAAGAUUUAAUGGCUUUCAGAUAGUUAACUGAGCAAAAGCCAAAGCAAAGAUUUUCUUGGCUUCUUGAACACAUUCCUCUCUGAGGCUAGCUUGCAGCAAAAGUUUCUAAUGGCUUAAUAGUAUAAUUCAGUACAUAAGAAUAAUUUCAAAAGUUUCAGGUUUCUGUGAAUUCUCUGAAUGAGUCGAUCUUGUUUAAAAUCUCAGUAAAUCAUGGACUCAGCAAGUGAAAGAUCAAAGACCUUCUUCUGAGAAAGAGAAAAAUGAAAUGCAGUAACAAACUAGCAGAAAUUUGAGGAAAGAGAAGGGAAAGCUGUUCUUAAAGAAUAUUUGUAAAUACUCAGUAGGAGCAUAUGAAGAGUGGACAUAGCAUGAACUGACCACUAACAAAAGCUAGAUAAUAAGCAGUAGUUACAGUCAAGGACUUUGUUUACUUGGCCAAUUUCUGCUCUCAGUCUGACAAGUCUAAAAUGCAUGCUAUGAAUGCAAGAUAAAUACAAACUACCUAUCAAAGUAUGCUCUACCUGUGACUACUAAUAAGAAGCUGUGGUGCUAAGUGGUAAGUUCCACCAAAGAGUCAUUGGCCAUGACUUUGCCAUGCAGAUGCAUUUUAUUGGGAGAGGAGGAAAUAAAAUUAAGAACAAAAUAAGCUGCUCUAAAAUA
ensembl:lncRNA